rnacentral:rRNA from 1 species
UACAGAGGGUGCAAGCGUUGUUCGGAAUUAUUGGGCGUAAAGCGCGUGUAGGCGGCUUAGCAAGUCGGGCGUGAAAGCCCUCGGCUCAACCGAGGAAGUGCACCCGAAACUGCUGAGCUUGAGUGCCGGAGAGGAUGGCGGAAUUCCCCAAGUAGAGGUGAAAUUCGUAGAUAUUCGCAAAGAACACCAGUGGCGAAGGCGCUCGACUGGCCCCGGUACGUGGAA